CACAAGUAAGAGAAAAGAGUUCGCAGGUGAGAGAGGAAGGUGUUGCGCCGCCGUUCGUUGCUGUUCAGCCACCGCCACGCCUUGUCGUCGCCGGAGUUUCCACCGCGGCUUCUCACCGCCGAGGGGAAGCCUUGUCUACGUUGCUGCCUCAGUCGCCGGUGAGUUGUGCACCGCCACCAGAGUCGAAGACAGCGCCAGCCUUGUUCUGAUUUCAAUUCUCCUAUUCUUGAAACUUCGUUGCUGGUUUACCGUUCGAAAAAGGCAUAAUUGAUGCUGAGAUCGUUGUUGUUCUUGCUCUGAGAGAACUGAUGUCACCAUUGCUGCUGUUGGUUCUGAAUCCUAUUACAUUGAUUCUGAGCUAUGUUUGCUUUUGAUUCUUAUCCAAUUCGAAUCCUUGUCUCGCUGCAACCAUCGUCACUGCCAUAAGAGAUUGACAAUGCUGCUGCUUCAGUUGCGUGCUUGCUGCUGCCAUAAAAAUUAAAAGAGAAGGGAGUUACCACGUUUAAUCUAUGUGAAUUCAACUAAUUGAGCUUUACCUUUUCAGGAACCAGAUGAAGAGGCGUAAAGAAGAGUUAUACUGAGUUUGGUUUAUAUGCUGUUGUGUUAAUUAGAUUAUUUUCUUCCCUCGUCUUUGUUAUUACAAAUUUGCAAGAGGGAUAGGAGUUGUAUGUUCUAUAUGUAUAUUAUAUUAUGAGAUAUUAUGUAAGGAGUCUUGUAUAUGAAUCUAUGCCUGCUUGCAUUUUUCUUAAGAUAAAGUAUUUAUUUCCGGUUUUCAAAGAAAUCAGCGAUACAGUGUCGAGUCACAGGCUCCUAUUUUAAUAUUUAGUAUGUAAAGUAGUCGUAAUACCUCUUGUUAUCAGAGUAGCGCAGUCGGAAACGUGACUUCUGAUAGUGAGGGUGUUACAU